GGACAGGUAGUCUAAAAAACACGCCGUCUUGCUCUUUUGUCCAAUCCUGGGCCGAUUUUAGAUGGUUAUGGCAAAGACAUUUCUGUAAGAAGAAACUAUUGUUGGUUCGAUUCCAACCCUGUCCA
rnacentral:tRNA from 1 species